GGGAGGUUGCCUGAGCGGCCAAAAGGAGGCGACUGUAAAUCGUCUGGCAUUGUCCUUCGGGGGUUCGAAUCCCUCACCUCCCA
rnacentral:tRNA from 2 species